AUACUGGUAGUGUAGUGGUUAGCAUCUCACCUUCCCAUCACUCCUUUGUGGGUAUAGGUGAGGACAUGGGUUCGAAUCCCGUCCAGUGUA